UCCAAGCCACUCCCUUCAGAUAUGCAACAAAAUUGUGUAGCCAAUUUAGCAUGCCUCCCUGGCUUGGACUUCACUAGCUUUUUCCUACCACAAAAUGAUCCCCACAUCUAUGAUUUCAGUCCACUGGACAUGGUUGAUCCAUACAACUGCAAUGGAAGUACCACCAUCAGCUCAAUGUCUGCUGAGACAGCAGACAAUCAAGAGAGGCACGGCAAUGAUGAGAGGAAGAAGAGAAGGUUAGCAUCAAACCGUGAGUCUGCAAGGAGGUCGCGUGUGAGGAAGCAGAGGCGCUUGAAUGACCUGUCGUCGCAGGUUGCAGAGCUCCUAGAUACAAAUCAGAGGCUUCUUAUUGAGCUCCACCACAUGAUCGCUAAGCAUGCUCGCAUAGUUCGUGAGAAUGCCAAGCUCAGAGAAGAAGCUGCUGACCUGCAGAAAAGGCUCGAUGAGAUGGAUGUAGAAGAAGCUGAAGCUGCACCACGGACCCCUGAGGUGGUUUAGUUUGAGAAAUCGUACAAUAUCGUGGUUAGUAGCCGUGUAGUACUGUUACGUAAAUAGAUAUAAUUCGGUGGUCAAUUUGUGGAAAGGGAGCAAAUAUAUAAGUACAUAGUAGAUUACAAGCUCUUUAUGUAUUCUUUCAUGAUUUUUUUUCUUUACCUGAUAUGCAUUGGUAUAGUCAAGCUCUAACCAAAACAUAGCAAGGCAUGUUUUUCGUCUAUAGAAACCUGACUAGUUGAUUCAGAGCAUUGCAAGGCAAUCCCUGACAGCACUUUCCCUGGGCAUUACUGGUUAGUGCUUUACCGGCAGCCUGACCUGCUUACCACAUUUCCCCCCUUAAUCUUUGUUUGUGCUGGUGUGCAUAGUGCAGUUACCAUUACGAUGCAGCAAUGUACUUCAGCAACAGCAAUGACAUGGAGUAUAUAGCAAUCAUGCAUAGCUGAGAAAACAGCAAGAAGGGCUCUGCUCCCUGGGCCCCUUGCAAGAUGCAAGGAGUACCUACCUGAUCUUGGGAAAUUAGAAGGAAAUUGUAUCCGGAUGGCAAAUAUGAUUAAAAUAUUGUAUGGAAACGUAAUCUGUCAACCGCAAGUUAACAACAUGAGCCAGAAUUUAGAAAGCCCUCUGUGUCCAUAACUAAUUAACUACCAAAAAAGAAAGAAAGAAAAUAUUGAGCUGAUCACCAACCAUUCAAGCAUAGUCAUUCCACAGAUACUGUUGCCAAUCUGACGAAGCUGCAUGCUUCAAGUUAUUAAACAAGAAAAGAAGACUCAAAAUCCUUCCUGCCUCAGGAGUCAGGAUCGAAUCACCCUGUACGCCCCCAACGGCCAACAGCGUGCUGAAUGCCACGCCCUUCCCAACUCAACGCAACGAAUGAUGCCUCACUGUUACCUCUCUUACGAAGAAGUCGGCUGCGCAGAUGCCGCCGCCGUCCAUCGGCCGCCGGCCGCC
rnacentral:lncRNA from 1 species